CGCGUGAGUGAAGAAGGUUUUCGGAUCGUAAAGCUCUGUUGUAAGAGAAGAACGCGUGUGAGAGUGGAAAGUUCACACAGUGACGGUAACUUACCAGAAAGGGACGGCUAACUACGUGCCAGCAGCCGCGGUAAUAACGUAGGUCCCGAGCGUUGUCCGGAUUUAUUGGGCGUAAAGCGAGCGCAGGCGGUUUAAUAAGUCUGAAGUUAAAGGCAGUGGCUUAACCAUU
rnacentral:rRNA from 1 species